rnacentral:rRNA from 1 species
UCCCUUAAAGCUACUCUCAGUUCGGAUUGUAGGCUGAAACUCGCCUACAUGAAGCUGGCGUUACUAGUAAUCGCAGAUCAGAAUGCUGCGGUGAAUGCGUUCCCGGGUCUUGUACACACCGCCCGUCACACCACGGGAGUUGGAGACGCCCGAAGCCGAUUAUCUAACCUUUUGGCAGAAGUCGUCGAAGGUGGAAUCAAUAACUGGGGGGAAGUCGUAACAAGGUAGCCGUAUCGGAAGGUGCGGCUGGAUCAC